GGAGAGGUGCCGGAGUGGUCGAUCGGAGUUGCCUGCUAAGCAAUUGGUUGGGGUAACCUGACCCCAGGGUUCGAAUCCCUGCCUCUCCG
rnacentral:tRNA from 1 species